rnacentral:lncRNA from 1 species
GAUAAACCUUUCAAAUGCAGUGAAUGUGACAAACGCUUUACUGAAAAAGGCCCUCUGAGAAACCAUAUGGGAAUUCAUACAGGAGAGAAACCUUUCAAAUGCAGUAAAUGUGACAAAUGCUUUGUCUACAAAUGCAGUCUGAGGAUGCAUCAGAGAAUUCAUACGGGAGAGAAACCUUACAAAUGUAGUCAAUGUGACACAUAUUUUGCCCGACAAUACUGGCUUAUGUGUCAUCAAAUAAGCCAUACAAGAGAGAAACCUUACAAAUGUAACCAAUGUGACAAAUCCUUUGCCCAAGUAUCCUAUCUUAGUAUUCAUCAGAGAAUUCAUACAGGAGAUAAACCAUACAAAUGCAGUGAAUGUGACAAAUGCUUUCGCUACAAAGGCAGUCUGAAAAUUCAUCAGAGAAUUCAUUCAGGAGAGAAACCAUACAAAUGCAGUGAAUGUGAUAAAUACUUUAGCC